AUUGAACGCUGGCGGCAUGCUUUACACAUGCAAGUCGAACGGUAACAGGCCGCAAGGUGCUGACGAGUGGCGAACGGGUGAGUAAUGCAUCGGAACGUGCCCAGUCGUGGGGGAUAACGCAGCGAAAGCUGUGCUAAUACCGCAUACGAUCUAUGGAUGAAAGCGGGGGACCGUAAGGCCUCGCGCGAUUGGAGCGGCCGAUGUCAGAUUAGGUAGUUGGUGGGGUAAAGGCUCACCAAGCCAACGAUCUGUAGCUGGUCUGAGAGGACGACCAGCCACACUGGGACUGAGACACGGCCCAGACUCCUACGGGAGGCAGCAGUGGGGAAUUUUGGACAAUGGGCGCAAGCCUGAUCCAGCAAUGCCGCGUGCAGGAAGAAGGCCUUCGGGUUGUAAACUGCUUUUGUACGGAACGAAACGGUCUGGGUUAAUACCUCGGGCUAAUGACGGUACCGUAAGAAUAAGCACCGGCUAACUACGUGCCAGCCGCCGCGGUAA
rnacentral:rRNA from 1 species